UAAAUCUUAGUGGCGGACGGGUGAGUAACGCGUGGGUAACCUGCCUUACACUGGGGGAUAACACUUAGAAAUAGGUGCUAAUACCGCAUAAGCGCACGAAGCCGCAUGGAUUUGUGUGAAAAACUCCGGUGGUGUAAGAUGGACCCGCGUCUGAUUAGCUUGUUGGCGGGGUAACGGCCCACCAAGGCGACGAUCAGUAGCCGGCCUGAGAGGGUGGACGGCCACAUUGGGACUGAGACACGGCCCAAACUCCUACGGGAGGCAGCAG
rnacentral:rRNA from 1 species